UGGGGAAUUUUGCACAAUGGGGGAAACCCUGAUGCAGCGACGCCGCGUGAUUUAGAAGGCCUUCGGGUUGUAAAAAUCUUUUGUAUGGGAAGAAAAUGACAGUACCAUACGAAUAAGGACCGGCUAACUCCGUGCCAGCAGCCGCGGUAAUACGGAGGAUACGAGCGUUAUCCGGAUUUAUUGGGUUUAAAGGGUGCGUAGGUGGCUGAUUAAGUCAGUGGUGAAAAGCUAUGGCUCAACCAUAGUCUUGCCGUUGAUACUGGUUAGCUUGAGUGUAGAUGAUGUAGGCGGAACGUGUAGUGUAGCGGUGAAAUGCAUAGAUAUUACGCAGAACUCCGAUUGCGAAGGCAGCUUACAAAACUACUACUGACACUGAGGCACGAAAGCGUGGGUAUCAAACAGG
rnacentral:rRNA from 1 species